rnacentral:rRNA from 1 species
AUGUGGAGUUUUGCAUCAAAUGCCAUAGCUGGAAGCAUAAAGAAAAGGGUGCAACCAUCAAAAGGCAGCCUAUCCAAUCCUGAUUGCUCUGAUGACGAUGGUUCUUCAUGUGCAAGUCGAGAGGAAGGCCUUGAAUGCCCAAUAUGCUGCGAAUCCUUCAACAUCGUAGAGAACGUUCCUUAUGUCUUGUGGUGUGGUCACACAAUGUGCAAGAACUGCAUCCUAGGUCUUCAGUGGGCUGUUGUCAAGUUCCCAACCCUUCCUAUCCAGCUGCCUCUCUUUGUCUCAUGUCCUUGGUGCAACCUAUUAUCUUUCCGGCUGGUGUACAAAGGCAACCUCAAGUUCCCACGUAAGAACUACUUUCUGCUCUGGAUGGUUGAGAGCAUGAAUGGUGACAGAGCAAAGUUCCAUUCCUCUGGUCAUGAAGAGCGCCAAUCAGUAUGUCCCUCCAGUGGUGGCACCAGUUCCAGUCAACACCACCGAAGAACCCCUACGGCACGAGCAGAGACCUCUUCUGCCAGAGAUAGAAAUGCCGCUGCCAACACCUCCAACACUGCCAGCGUGUCUCUCCAAAAGCUCAUGGUGUGCUUCGUGCAGCUGACUGCCAAGUUCCCGCUCGUGAUAAUGUUCCUCCUCAUAGUUCUCUACGCCGUCCCUGCCAGCGCCGCGGUUCUGCUCCUGUACGUCCUUGUCACGUUUUUGUUUGCGCUGCCGUCGUUUCUGAUCCUCUACUUUGCUUAUCCCACCUUGGACUGGCUCGUGAGAGAGAUAUUCACUUGA